GUUUACAUCUCUUCACUGAGAGCCAAUUAUCUCGCUUUUGUGUGAGGCCCAAGGAUCACUCAUGCUGCCAGGCUGCACAGAGCACUGUUGGAUCUAGCUGAAUGAAUUGUUUUCCCUGUCUCUGCAAUCUUAUUCAAGGCCCUCUAAGGAAAAUGACAAUAAAUAUGACCCAUCACCACCCUUCAAUCACACUUUAGGAAAGGAGUCUUAGAAAGAAAACGUCCUGGAAUUCACCAAUAAAUCAUUGAGACCCUGGUGAAACUUACCAAUUCAGAGGGAGAUUAAAAGUUCCACUCACUGAAACACAGCAAGCCUGUCACCUAUCAAAGGUUGCACCUUUGGAGUCUUUCUAAUAAAGGUCUGAGGAGUAAUCUAA